CAGCAGCCGCGGUAAAACGGAGGGUGCAAGCGUUAAUCGGAAUUACUGGGCGUAAAGCGCACGCAGGCGGUCUGACAAGUCGGAUGUGAAAUCCCCGGGCUUAACCUGGGAACUGCAUUUGAAACUGUCAGGCUGGAGUCUUGUAGAGGGGGGUGGAAUUCCAGGUGUAGCGGUGAAAUGCGUAGAGAUCUGGAGGAAUACCGGUGGCGAAGGCGGCCCCCUGGACAAAGACUGACGCUCAGGUGCGAAAGCGUGGGGAGCAAACAGGAUUAGAUACCCGUGUAGUCCCUGUCUCUUAUAA
rnacentral:rRNA from 1 species